rnacentral:lncRNA from 1 species
GGCCGUGGCCGUUUCCUGUGGUGGUCCAGGGAAGAGCUAGGUGGGGGCCAUGGCUGAGGAGAAGGCAAAGCAUCCGUGCUGAGACAAUGGCUCAGCAGCCUGUCAGCAAUUGCUGCAGAUGGUCCAAGGUUUUUCAAUAUAGAGCUCACACUGGUUUCAUAUGUGAUGAGGAGACAAGGAAACAGUGGAGAACAGCAGCAGUUGUUAUGAUGCAGAUAAGCAAGAAAGAAAAAUUAAGGAUGGAAAGACGGAGCAGUUUCUAAAAAAUGAGGUAAGGAAUUCUCUAUAAAAGUGUAAAGCGUAUAAAUAAUCGUGCCAAAUAGUUUAUCCUGCCCUUCCUAGUAUUUCUGAGAAUUUCUUCUAUAUGUGUCUAGGACAUAUAAACACACAAUACAUAAUCCCUACUAACCCCCACUCACACAAUAAAUCUCCUUUUGAGCAAAAUUGCUGUUACUCU